rnacentral:rRNA from 1 species
UACGGAGGGUGCAAGCGUUAUCCGGAUUUACUGGGUUUAAAGGGUGCGUAGGUGGGUCUGUAAGUCAGUGGUGAAAUCUCCGAGCUUAACUCGGAAACUGCCAUUGAUACUAUAGAUCUUGAAUUAUCUGGAGGUAAGCGGAAUAUGUCAUGUAGCGGUGAAAUGCUUAGAUAUGACAUAGAACACCAAUUGCGAAGGCAGCUUACUACGGAUCGAUUGACACUGAGGCGCGAAAGCGUGGGGAUCAAACAGG